rnacentral:rRNA from 1 species
AGUAAUGUAUGGGGAUCUGCCCGAUAGAGGGGGGUAACUACUGGAAACGGUGGCUAAUACCGCAUAAUGUCUACGGACCAAAGCAGGGGCUCUUCGGACCUUGCACUAUCGGAUGAACCCGUAUGGGAUUAGCUAGUAGGUGGGGUAAAGGCUCACCUAGGCGACGAUCUCUAGCUGGUCUGAGAGGAUGAUCAGCCACACUGGGACUGAGACACGGCCCAG